rnacentral:rRNA from 1 species
CCUACGGGUGGCUGCAGUGGGGAAUUUUGGACAAUGGGGGCAACCCUGAUCCAGCCAUUCCGCGUGAGUGAAGAAGGCCUUCGGGUUGUAAAGCUCUUUCGCAAGGGAAGAAAACUUACUCAAUAAUACCGGUUGAGGCUGACGGUACCUUGAUAAGAAGCACCGGCUAACUACGUGCCAGCAGCCGCGGUAAUACGUAGGGUGCUAGCGUUAAUCGGAAUUACUGGGCGUAAAGCGUGCGCAGGAGGUGAAAUCCCCGGGCUCAACCUGGGAACUGCGUUUGAGACUACAAGGCUAGAGUAUGGCAGAGGGGGGUAGAAUUCCACGUGUAGCAGUGAAAUGCGUAGAGAUGUGGAGGAAUACCAAUGGCGAAGGCAGCCCCCUGGGUCAAUACUGACGCUCAUGCACGAAAGCGUGGGGAGCAAACAGGAUUAGAUACCCCAGUAGUC